rnacentral:tRNA from 1 species
AGGAACUUAGGCUAACCUCAGACCAGAAGCCUUCAAAGCUUCAAGCAAGUAACGACUACUUAGUUCCUGC